AAUAAAAAAUCAGGAAAAAGUUUCAGCCAAAGCAGACAAAAUAUGUAAUAAAAUAUUUUAUCUACGUAAAUUAUUAAUUUAGAAAUGGAAAGUAAUCAACGAUUGUUGUCUUGAUUUUUUUCAAUUCACCUUCAUCUCCAAUUCCAUAAUCCAUAUUGGAAGUAUAGUUUCAAGAAAAAUUGGCAGCUAAAAUGUCAAAGAAGUUCAUAUUCGUACUUAAUUUUUUUGACUCGUUUCGAGUUGUUUCUUGUUGGAUCUGUAGUAGAUGUUUAAAAAUAAUCUCCAUUUAUGUCAGUGAAUAUCUGAUUUUGUGGUCUGUAUGUUUGGCAAGCUCUUCUUUUCCUAUGAUUUUCUUUUUCUUUUUUCGAUUUAAACAUGCAAGUGAAAUUUGCGAUUUGUUUGUUGUUGGAUUUGUAGUAUAUAUUGGAAAAUAAUCCCCAUUUAUGUCUGUCAGUAUCUGAUUUUAUGGCUUCUGUAAAGUCUGGUAAGCUCUCCUCUAUCUGUGAUUUUCUUUUUCUUUUUCGACUUUAACAUGCAAGUGAAAUCUGUCAUUUUUAUUGUUAAAUUUGUAGUAGAUUUUGAAAGAUAAUCUUCAUUUGUGUCAGCAAGUAUCUGAUUUUAUGAUCUCUAUAAUGUCUGGUAAGGUCUCCUCUUCUGUGAUUUUCUUUUCUUUUUUCGUUUGAACAUGCAAGUGAAUUAGAGAUUUGAUGCAGCUGAGCUGAAAAAAAUAUAGAAUGGAACGAAAAGCUUGAGUAACAGAAGAUUUGGAGUUGUAUAUUCAUGUUAAUGAUAUCUUCAUGUUCCUUUUGUACUUGUUUUGAUUAUUCCAUGGCAUAUAUUAAGUCAUAUCUAAAAAGAAUGGUGGAUUGUUCAAUUUUUUUAUAUUUUUUCCUUUUGAUUUUUGGAUGACUUUUUUUUUUUUUUUUGAAUGUUCUCAUGCUAAACAAACAAUAUUUGUCUGGUCAAUAUACAUUAUUCGAUGAGUAACAACAUGUACUAAACGUCUUCGACACAUUAGUGCUCAAUACCAGUUCUUAUAGGAGGCAUGCUUGACGCUAUCGCUUGCAAUUUUCAUGAUUUCUCCAUAAACGUUUCAGCCGGUUCAAGGCAUCUCCUUAGUGCAUUAUGUCCAAGUUGGGCUCUUUCGUUAUCUCCAAAUCCAAAGACUCAUCCACAAUUUAUUACAACAACAAUGUGGUAUAAGCCAGUGCUAAUUUGAGAUAAGUGGUGGGAUCUCAAGCUCUCCAAGAUCUCGGUCUUCAGAACUUAAUGUGAUGCUCCUCUGUAACGGAACUUGAGGCUACCAAAGCCCAUCCAACCAAAGUCAUAAACAGAACCAUUGUCUACCAGGACAAAAGUUUUCCUGAGCUAUCCCUGACGUACCGAUAGCUCAGGAAUGGCGUUGUACACCAUUCCACAUUUAACCAAACAAAAGGUGCAUUUCUCUUUGUUAUGGCUUAUCAUUUCUCUUGGUGCAUGUAUCAUCAGUAUAUGCAUAUACGAUGUGCAUUUAUAAAUGUGUUUCAAAAAGGUGUGUGGGUGAGCUUGGGAUUGGACAGGUUUCCUGACCAGCAUCUCUCGUCUUUCACAAAAUAACCAUUCAAUGAUGACUCAUUGGAUAAGUUGUUAUGCAAGUGGAAUAGCUACACAAGAUUUUUAAACUUAAUGGUUCUGAGUAAUACUGGACGAAAUCAAAAUUGCCACAUGCGACGAUCUUUAAACCUCAACAGCCAUACAAGCAAUGCCUUGCCAACACAUUCAAGGACUUCCCUCCAUCAUUUUUAGUACUUUUGGAUUCUCUCCUGGCUUUUGAACCUGAGUAUCGAAGUUCUGCUACUUUGGCACUUCAAAAUGAGAUUAGUGGCUCUCUACCAUGCUGGUCUUGAUUUUCCUGCAGAUUAGUGGCUCUCGUAUGCAGAUAAGUGUUAUCGAAAUGAUCAAGUACUUCGAUAUUGAUUUUUGUGGUUUAUCGAUUAGGGCAAGGAUCAUUGUAAAACAAAGAGAAUUUUGAGCAACAACUAUACUCUUUUAUGUUGUUAACUGUGAAACUUAUAAAUCAAGUAAUCAAACUGAAUGUCAAUUGAUUUGUUAAUUGAUUUAGCAUGCUC